GACGAACGCUGGCGGCGUGCUUAACACAUGCAAGUCGAACGGACAGGCCCGGCUUUUGUGGGGUGCUCGAGUGGCGAACGGGGGAGUAACACGUGUGUAACCCGCACUUGACUUUGUGAUAACUUCACGAAAAUGGGGCGCAUACCGGGUAGGAUCUUCUGCUGCAUGUGGGUGGUUGGAGAGUUUCGGCGGUUCGGGAUGGACUCGCGGCUUAUCAGCUUGUUUGUGGGGUAGUUGCUUUCGAAGGCUUUGACGGCUAGGCCGCCUGAGAGGGUUAACGGCGACCAUGCGACUGAGAUACGGACCAGAAUCGUACGGGAGGCAGCAGUGGGAAAUAUUACACAACGGGCGGAAGCGUGAUGUAGCAACGUCGCGAGCGGGAUGACGGGCUUCGGGUUGUAAACCGAUUUGUACUGAAAUGAAGAGUGCGUGACGGUAACGGGUAAAGAAGCCCCGGCUAACUACGUG
rnacentral:rRNA from 1 species